GGUUCGAUGGCGUAGUGGUUAUCGCAUCUGUCUUACAUGUAUGUGACGUCGGUCCGUUUGCACAGAAGGUCUCCGGUUCGAUCCCGGGUCGAAUCA